rnacentral:lncRNA from 1 species
AUGAGAUUAUGGAAUAGACUGGACAUAACAUACUUUGGGUGUCACUCUCAUCACUGCCAGAUGGGACCAUCGAACUGGAGGAAAGUGAGCUCAGGGUUCUCACUGAUUCUGCGUUAUGCAUCUACACCAACCUGCCUUCUACAUACCAAUUCAUCUGUUUCUAACCAAACACUCCCAUCCUUCAUCAAGUGGAAUAUUCAGCUUCGCCUUUAUGAUAAUCCAGUGUUUUACAUUUCCUUCAAGGCCAACAUUAAGAGAGUCUCCACAUCUCUACAUACCUCCCCAGCUAAACUCUAGCCUUUCCCAGAAUGGCUGUGGCCUUUGUCUACCCACAGAAUCUAAUACUCAAUUAUUUGAGUGUUAUAAAUGUACAGAC